rnacentral:tRNA from 1 species
GCUUUAGUAGCUUAACUUUUUAAAGCAUCGGUCUUGUAAGCCGAAGACUGGAGUUUAAUCACUUCCUAAGGCU